UUAGAUGUGACCAUACGAGCUCUGAAAACUACAGUAGAACCCCGCAAAUCCGAACUAAUUGGGGGGACAGCCUGUUCGGAUUCCGAAAAGUUCGGAUUAUCCGAAAGUUAGCCUUAACUAGUAGUUCAAAGCUUUCAUUGUGAUUUUGAGUAGCCAAACGUUCUCGCAAGAGUGUGGACAAUAUUUUUGGACUCAAGUUGACUAUGAGAGAGCCAAAAUCUUCUGCUUAUCCUGAGAAAUUACCUGCUUUACAAGAAAUUCCAACAAAAUUUAAGAUCGAAGUAUUUGCACUGAUAGAAAUCGUCGAUGAUACCAUUUAGAAGGGCUACAUGAAACAAGAACAUCAUUAGCAACAUUAACAGGAGACUUUGAGUAACAAAUUGUUAUAAAAUAUAAUCUGCAAAUGCGAAAUAUUUGUUUGGUUGGUGACAUGAGACGGAUAUACACCAGCAAACGAGUUUUCCUUCAGAAAAUAGCUACGUGUGGUUAUGAAUCUGAACAAGAGUGGCGA